AGACAGCGCGCUAGCGUAUCUAGUCUGUGUAUAUCUAUGGUCGGCACGUCUGGUAGCAUCUCUGGCUGCUGUUGACCUUGUUUUUGGAGUAAAACACGGUGGAAGCUGAAUUAGUGAGGAUGACUCCUGCUCCUGUCAUCUCUAAGCUCCUCACACAUCUUUACCUGCACAUGAGGAAAAUCACUCCUGUAGAAUGCAGAUGUUCAGAGGGAGAUGAUGCCACAUCUGGUCCAGCUGAUGGAAGGUCUUGAAGUUCUCUGACUGGCCUCGACUGAAGAUGGUCGUCUCACUGGAUUUAAGGUUCAGAUGCUCAGUAACAAACUCCACCAAUGUGCCAACAGGGAAGCUUUAGGUUUAUUAAAUGUUGCUAUGAAGGUAUCACUGUUUUUCUUUGUGAAUGCAAUGUACUCCAACUGAAAGUUGAAUUAGAACUUAGAAGUAAAUCCUUCCAUCUGAAAGGAUUUAGUUGCAUUAAUAACCUCAUAACAUUCUAAUUUUUCUUCCAGUCUUGGUUGAAAAUAGAAUCUCUGUAUUGAUUCAGGUAAAAACUGAACUUCACAGCAUGUUGGAGCAAAACAACCAGAUGAAAACUGUGAUGGUGUUGGAUUGUCAGACCGUAAUGUUGCAGCUCAAAGCAGCUUUUCUAGCUCAGUUCAUUCUGACAUUCAGCUAUGAAUCAACACAGCAGAUGGUGAUCCAUGCUGUGGAAGUCUCACAUCUCCUGAUUUAAUGGAGCUGCUUUGCACUUUUUACACAGUUUAUUCACCAACACUUUAUUUAAUAAAAGUCCCAUCUAGUUUUUAUGAGGAA